UGCGGGUUAGUUCAGUGGCAGAACGCCGGUCUCUGAAGCCGGAUGUCGGAGGUUCGAUCCCUCCACCCGCAACCA
rnacentral:tRNA from 1 species